rnacentral:rRNA from 1 species
UACGAAGGGUGCAAGCGUUACUCGGAAUUACUGGGCGUAAAGCGUGCGUAGGUGGUUCGUUAAGUCUGAUGUGAAAGCCCCGGGCUCAACCUGGGAACUGCAUUGGAUACUGGCGAUCUGGAGUGCGGUAGAGGGUGGCGGAAUUCCCGGUGUAGCAGUGAAAUGCGUAGAUAUCGGGAGGAACAUCCGUGGCGAAGGCGGCAUCCUGGACCGGUAUUGACACUGAGGCGCGAAAGCCAGGGGAGCAAACGGG